rnacentral:rRNA from 1 species
UACAGAGGAGCCAAGCGUUGUCCGGAAUUAUUGGGCGUAAAGAGCUCGUAGGCGGUUUGUCGCGUCGAAUGUGAAAACCCGGGGCUCAACCCCGGGCCUGCAUUCGAUACGGGCAGACUAGAGUUCGGUAGGGGAGUCUGGAAUUCCUGGUGUAGCGGUGAAAUGCGCAGAUAUCAGGAGGAACACCGGUGGCGAAGGCGGGACUCUGGGCCGAUACUGACGCUGAGGAGCGAAAGCGUGGGGAGCAAACAGG